CACACCCGUUCCCAUACCGAACACGGAAGUUAAGCUCUCUAGCGCCGAUGGUAGUUGGGACCUUGUCCCUGUGAGAGUAGGACAUCGCCAAGC
rnacentral:rRNA from 1 species